ACGAGGCUUCCUCCAUAAGAAAGGGGAAAACUAAUACCUCCUAACGAAAUAGAACGAUUGUGACUUCUCUUGGCUAGCUUCAGGAAAGUUUCUCCAAAUUGUGUUUAGCAAGAAUAUUUGGCGUCCACCGUGGGGCCUCGGUAAAACUUUCUCAAGCCUAAUGUUAUCUUAGAUUUUCGACACCAACAUUAAAUUAUAGGAAUAUGACAAGGGUCAUGUAAUAAUGGUUUUGAUAAAGAUUCGAAAUGCUUAAUGAUGGUCAUGAAGAUUCCGACGAAUUUGAUUUGUCGACCAAGAGUUCUAACUGUGGUCGAAAUUAUAGUCAGACAAAGACCAAAGAGUUUUUGGACUUAGUGAAUUUCAGAAUUUCCAAGAUAUUUCCUACGUAGUCGAAUACGGUGUGAAUGAAUAAG
rnacentral:lncRNA from 1 species